GGGUGAGUAACACGUGAGUUAUCUGCCCUGUACUUCGGGAUAAGCCUGGGAAACUGGGUCUAAUACCGGAUAUGACCUUCGGUUGCAUGACCGUGGGUGGAAAGAUUUAUCGGUACAGGAUGGGCCCGCGGCCUAUCAGCUUGUUGGUGGGGUAAUGGCCUACCAAGGCGACGACGGGUAGCCGGCCUGAGAGGGCGACCGGCCACACUGGGACUGAGACACGGCCCAGACUCCUACGGGAGGCAGCAGUGGGGAAUAUUGCACAAUGGGCGAAAGCCUGAUGCAGCGACGCCGCGUGAGGGAUGACGGCCUUCGGGUUGUAAACCUCUUUCUACAGGGACGAAGCGCAAGUGACGGUACCUGUAGAAAAAGCACCGGCCAACUACGUGCCAGCAGCCGCGGUAAUACGUAGGGUGCGAGCGUUGUCCGGAAUUACUGGGCGUAAAGAGCUUGUAGGCGGUUCGUCGCGUCGUUCGUGAAAACUUGGGGCUCAACCCCAAGCUUGCGGGCGAUACGGGCGGACUAGAGUACUUCAGGGGAGACUGGAAUUCCUGGUGUAGCGGUGAAAUGCGCAGAUAUCAGGAGGAACCCCGGUGGCGAAGGCGGGUCUCUGGGAAGUAACUGACGCUGAGGGGCGAAAGCGUGGGUAGCGAACAGGAUUAGAUACGCUGGUAGUCCACGCCGAAAACGGGGGGUACUAGGUGUGGGUUUCCUUC
rnacentral:rRNA from 1 species